rnacentral:ncRNA from 1 species
GGUUGCCCCCUCGAAGAGGCUUAUUAUCUGAUAUUAUCUCUUUUUCAAGGCGUUGAGUACUUUUCUUGAGGUUUUUCUAUGCCAUAUUGAUGUUUGGUUCUUAACAUAAACAAUGGAAGUAACUAUGACUAUCUUAAGGUAUCCAGAUGCUUCAUCAUAUAAUUAGUGAUGUGCAUGAAUGGAUCAUUAACGAGAUUCUCCACUGUCUCAAGCUAUUAUAUUCUAGAGAAACCACAUCCAAGGGAAUGGGCUUGGAAGAAUUAGCGGAGAAAGAAGACCCUCAUGUUGAUCUUGACUCUAGUCCUAACCCAUUCAUAGU